GAUGGACGCUGACAGAAUGCUUAACACAUGCAAGUCAACUUGAACUUCGGUUUGGGUGGCGGACGGGUGAGUAACGCGUAAAGAACUUGCCUCACAGAUAGGGACAACAUUUGGAAACGAAUGCUAAUACCUGAUAUUAUGAUUAUAUGGCAUCGUAUAAUUAUGAAAGCUAUAUGCGCUGUGAGAGAGCUUUGCGUCCCAUUAGCUAGUUGGAGAGGUAACGGCUCACCAAGGCGAUGAUGGGUAGCCGGCCUGAGAGGGUGAUCGGCCACAAGGGGACUGAGACACGGCCCUUACUCCUACGGGAGGCAGCAGUGGGGAAUAUUGGACAAUGGACCAAGAGUCUGAUCCAGAAAUUCUGUGUGCACGAUGAAGUUUUUCGGAAUGUAAAGUGCUUUCAGUUGGGAAGAAAAAAAUGACGGUACCAACAGAAGAAGUGACGGCUAAAUACGUG
rnacentral:rRNA from 1 species